rnacentral:rRNA from 1 species
GACGAACGCUGGCGGCGUGCUUAACACAUGCAAGUCGAACGAUGAACCGGAGCUUGCUCCGGGGAUUAGUGGCGAACGGGUGAGUAACACGUGGGCAACCUGCCCCAGACACCGGGAUAACCUUCCGAAAGGAUGGCUAAUACCGGAUAUGACCACUUCGGGCAUCCGACGGUGGUGGAAAGGAUUCUGGUCUGGGGAUGGGCCCGCGGCCUAUCAGCUUGUUGGUGGGGUAAUGGCCUACCAAGGCGACGACGGGUAGCCGGCCUGAGAGGGCGACCGGCCACACUGGGACUGAGACACGGCCCAGACUCCUACGGGAGGCAGCAGUGGGGAAUAUUGCGCAAUGGGCGAAAGCCUGACGCAGCGACGCCGCGUGAGGGACGAAGGUCUUCGGAUUGUAAACCUCUUUCAGCAGGGACGAAGCGAAAGUGACUGUACCUGCAGAAGAAGCACGGCUAACUACGUGCCAGCAGCCGCGGUAA